rnacentral:rRNA from 1 species
ACGGGAGGCAGCAGUGGGGAAUAUUGGGCAAUGGGGGCAACCCUGACCCAGCAACGCCGCGUGAAGGAAGAAGGCUUUCGGGUUGUAAACUUCUUUUAUCAGGGACGAUAAUGACGGUACCUGAUGAAUAAGCCACGGCUAACUACGUGCCAGCAGCCGCGGUAAUACGUAGGUGGCAAGCGUUAUCCGGAUCUACUGGGUGUAAAGGGCGCGUAGGCGGGGAUGCAAGUCAGAUGUGAAAUCCAUGGGCUUAACCCAUGAACUGCAUUUGAAACUGUAUCUCUUGAGUGUCGGAGAGGUAGAUGGAAUUCCUAGUGUAGCGGUGAAAUGCGUAGAUGUUAGGAGGAACACCAGUGGCGAAGGCGAUCUACUGGACGAUAACUGACGCUGAGGCGCGAAAGCGUGGGGAGCAAACAGGAUUAGAUACCCUGGUA